rnacentral:rRNA from 1 species
UACGGGGGGGGGUAAGCGUUGUUCGGAAUUACUGGGCGUAAAGAGCUCGUAGGCGGUUUGUUGCGUCGGCUGUGAAAUCCCGAGGCUCAACCUCGGGUCUGCAGUCGAUACGAGCAAACUAGAGUGUUGCAGGGGAGACUGGAAUUCCUGGUGUAGCGGUGAAAUGCGCAGAUAUCAGGAGGAACACCGGUGGCGAAGGCGGGUCUCUGGGCAACAACUGACGCUGAGGAGCGAAAGCGUGGGGAGCGAACAGG